rnacentral:tRNA from 1 species
AAAUAAGUAAGCUAAACAAACCCAAAGCUAUUAGGUUCAUACCCUGAGUAUAGAAUUUAUUCUCUUAUUUA